rnacentral:rRNA from 1 species
ACGCUCGACACCUACGGGGNGGCAGCAGGUGGGGAAUAUUGCACAAGUAGGGGGAAACCCUGAUGCAGCGACGCCGCGUGAAGGAAGAAGUAUCUCGGUAUGUAAACUUCUAUCAGCAGGGAAGAAAAUGACGGUACCUGACUAAGAAGCCCGGCUAACUACGUGACCUGCAGCCGCGGUAAUCUGAGCGGCUGGCAAGGC